rnacentral:rRNA from 1 species
CCGGGGCUCAACCUGGGAACUUGCAAUGGUGACUGCAUGUUAGAGUUAUGGCAGAGGGGGGUAGAAUUCCACGUGUAGCAGUGAAAUGCGUAGAGAUGUGGAGGAAUAUCAUGGGAAGGCAGCCCCCUGGGUCAAAAAAAAAAAAUCAUGCACGAAAGCGUGGGGAGCAAACAGGAUUAGAUACCUGGUAGUCCACGCCCUAAACGAUGUCAACGGUUGUCGGGUUUCAUUGAAGGUAAGUAGAUAACGCGUGAAGUCCGCCGGGGAGACGGUUGCAAGAUUAAAAUCAAAGGAAUUGACGGGGACCCGCACAAGGGGGAAUGUGGAUAAGAGCAAGCGAAAACUUUU